AGGAUGAACGCUGGCGGCGUGCCUAACACAUGCAAGUCGAACGUCCUGUCUCGCAAGAGGCAGGGAGUGGCGGACGGGUGAGUACCACGUGGGUCAUCUACCGUGAGGUGAGGAAUACCGGCGAGAAAUCGCCGACAAGACCGCAUAGGCUCGAUGCAAGUCGAGCAAAGCUCUUUCGAGAGAGGGAGCGCCACACGAGGAGCCUGCGCCCGAUUAGCUAGCUGGUGGAGUAACGGUUCACCAGGGCGACGAUCGGUAGCUGGUCUGAGAGGACGAUCAGCCACACUGGGAUUGAGAACGGCCCAGACUCCUACGGGGGCAGCAGUGAGGAAUUUUCGUCAAUGGGGGCAACCCUGAACGAGCAACGCCGCGUGCAGGAAGAAGGUUUCGGAUCGUAAACUGCUUUUCUCGGGGAAGAGAACGGACGGUACCCGAGGAAUCGAGCCCCGGCUAACUACGUGCCAGCAGCCGC
rnacentral:rRNA from 1 species